rnacentral:rRNA from 12 species
AGAAGAGUUUGAUCCUGGCUCAGGAUAAACGCUAGCGGCAGGCCUCAUACAUGCAAGUCGAGGGGCAACAGGACACUUCGGUGUUGCUGGCGACCGGCGCACGGGUGCGUAACACGUAUGCAAUCUACCUUGUACUGGGGAAUAGCUCUCGGAGACGAGAAUUAAUACCCCAUAUUAUCCUAAUAGCACAUGCUGUUAAGAAAAAAGCUCUGGCGGUACAAGAUGAGCAUGCGUCCCAUUAGCUAGUUGGUAGGGUAACGGUUUACCAAGGCUCCGAUGGGUAGGGGUUCUGAGAGGAAGAUCCCCCACACUGGCACUGAGAUACGGGCCAGACUCCUACGGGAGGCAGCAG